AUUUGUCAGACGAUUUAAUAAAAAGAAACACAUUUUUGAAACAUGUGUUUAUUAGCAGUCUCAGUUUAGAUUGGAAUCUUGAACAGUUUUAAUCUGAUUUAAUCGAGGAAAACAGAAUGAAGAGACUAGAUGUUCUUCAAAUCUUGGCAGAAAGGAAUGAAAGAAGAAAACGCGAACUGGAGCUCAAUGGUUUACCGUCAGAAAGCAAUGAUUCUUUGCCCAUAACCCCAAAUUUUUCAGACUCCAUCCUCGUUGAAUCAUCAUCUCAGAGUGCUUCGUCACAAAGCAGUAGACAGGAAGAAUUAAAUCAUGCUACAGUUCUGGAUAUUUUUGAUGACACACAAGUUUAUUGUUUUUAUUCAAAAGACGAAGUAAACUAUUCUUGGCUUGAUAAAGAUCUAGGUAUUAAAGAAGUUCCAAAGAUGUCUUCUUCAGAUUUGGUGAACUAUUUGCGGUCAGAAAUAAAGGGCAAUCAAUUACAACGAUCACUGAAAACCUGCAAAUUAUCAUGUGAUAUUUGUUCUUUCUAAUGUCAGUGACAACAAGCAAAGAUGUGGCAGAAGUGUGUUUUAAGAUUCUUUCAGAAACAAUAUCAGUUAAAACCUUGGUUAAAACUCAACAAUUCUGUGCUAUUGAAGUGCCUGAUUUACUUCUAGUCCUGAUGAAUUUUGGUACUGUUCAAAGUAAGCUUUGGCCUGCGGCUGUGGACAUUUCUUUUCCUCGCCCAUUCCGGAAAUUUUCCAUGAACAGUUUUGAUUCGGAAAAACAUCAUGUCCCUUUCUCUCUCUUGAGUUUCCAUGUGAAAACAUACCCCUACUUUUCCGAGAACGAAAAAAUUGGAAUGUGCAACCUUUUACUAAACCUUUAAAUGGCCAAUUUUAUAGCUGGAGACACUUUUCUAACUCUCAAAAGACAUUAUAUCACGUAUACUUGAAAGUUUUACAGUAGAGGAAUGGAGUGAACUUAAUUUCAAAAUGAUUGAGAAACUUGUUUUGCAGCGUAAUUUUGAGAACCUGGAACCUACAGCGAUGGUUCAACGGAUUACGUACAGUAUAUACCAACGACUACAAGCCGUGGAGUGAUGUUUCAACAGUCUGCCGCCUACUUUGCGAUACAACAUCUCAUGAAUUUGGAAGAAGUUGACCUUCCCGGCCGUGUUUCGGUGAAAGACGUAAAUCGAUUGGUUGAUUUGUUAAGUCGGCAAAAUUUAAAAAAUUAUCGGACAUUUGUUCAGCAUAGUUACUUUGCUCCGUUUAACCUUGGACGUUAAUGAUCCGUCGAUAAAAAAAAAAGAAAUGAAAAAUCUUCACAUAAAGUUGAGCGAAGUCCGUCAUGGAAUCAAUGAUCUUUCGGAUAAGUCGGAUACAACUCCAAUGCUUGUUAAAGAUUUGACGUGUGAGAUUUCGCUCUUCUGGAAAAACUCCAUUCCUAUCGAUAAUGUUGUGUGAGUAAAUUAAACAGCUGCCAACCGGUAA
rnacentral:lncRNA from 1 species